rnacentral:rRNA from 1 species
UACAGAGGUCUCGAGCGUUGUUCGGAUUCAUUGGGCGUAAAGGGCGCGUAGGCGGCGGGGUAAGUCUGGUGUGAAAUCUCGGAGCUCAACUCCGAAAUUGCACUGGAUACUGCUCUGCUAGAGGGCUGGAGAGGAGAUCGGAAUUCACGGUGUAGCAGUGAAAUGCGUAGAUAUCGAGAGGAAGACCAGUGGCGAAGGCGGAUCUCUGGACAGCUCCUGACGCUGAGGCGCGAAGGCUAGGGGAGCAAACGGG